rnacentral:rRNA from 1 species
ACGGGAGGCAGCAGUGGGGAAUAUUGCGCAAUGGGGGAAACCCUGAUGCAGCGACGCCGCGUGAGUGAAGAAGUAUUUCGGUAUGUAAAGCUCUAUCAGCAGGGAAGAUAAUGACGGUACCUGACUAAGAAGCACCGGCUAAAUACGUGCCAGCAGCCGCGGUAAUACGUAUGGUGCAAGCGUUAUCCGGAUUUAUUAGGUUUAAAGGGUGCGCAGGCGGGACACUAAGUCGGCGGUGAAAUCUCAUGGCCCAACCAUGAAACUGCCAUCGAUACUGGUGACCUUGAGUACGAAUGAGGAAGGCGGAAUGAGUCGUGUAGCGGUGAAAUGCUUAGAUAUGACUCAGAACACCAAUUGCGAAGGCAGCUUUCCAAAACGCAACUGACGCUCAUGCACGAAAGCGUGGGUAGCGAACAGGAUUAGAUACCCUGGUA